GUGGGGAAUAUUGGACAAUGGGGGGAACCCUGAUCCAGCCAUGCCGCGUGUGUGAAGAAGGCCUUUUGGUUGUAAAGCACUUUAAGCGAGGAGGAGGCUACCGAGAUUAAUACUCUUGGAUAGUGGACGUUACUCGCAGAAUAAGCACCGGCUAACUCUGUGCCAGCAGCCGCGGUAAUACAGAGGGUGCAAGCGUUAAUCGGAUUUACUGAGCGUAAAGCGCGCGUAGGUGGCCAAUUAAGUCAAAUGUGAAAUCCCCGAGCUUAACUUGGGAAUUGCAUUCGAUACUGGUUGGCUAGAGUAUGGGAGAGGAUGGUAGAAUUCCAGGUGUAGCGGUGAAAUGCGUAGAGAUCUGGAGGAAUACCGAUGGCGAAGGCAGCCAUCUGGCCUAAUACUGACACUGAGGUGCGAAAGCAUGGGGAGCAAACAGGAUUAGAUACCCGAGUAGUCC
rnacentral:rRNA from 1 species